AAACCAGUCCAAAGUGAUUCUUGGCUUCCGAGGGCGUGCUUCCUUUUUUUCCAGCGGAUAACAUCUAAUCCUGAACUGACUUAAAUGAUGGUGAUGGUUACCCUGGAAAUUCCUUUCUCUCUAGCCAAAGGAGAAUCUUGUUCGAUUUAACCCAGCAACUAAUUGUCUUAUGAAGAUUCCAGCUGUUUUCCCUUCAUGUGACUACAAAGGGGCGUUUGACUGAAAAAUGAUGAAUCGUACUCUACUUGGCUACCUGUUGUGGUGUAUAUUAUGUAGCUGAUAACCAAUAAUGAGUUCUACAAAGCUGAAAUGCAUUUAAGGGGUUUUGACAACAGGAACUGCAAUUCAAAUGGCUGGACAUAUUUGAGCUCAGACUGGCCGCACUCUUGGCCAUUUUAUUAUUCUUUCAUUAUCUUGUCAUUUUCUGCCUGAGUUUACUUUUCUGUAAUGUGGGUAGUUAGCAUGGUUAUAAAAAGAAAGCACUUGCAGAUAUAUAACAUCUUGCAUAACUUCACGAUGCCCCAUACCGCUCCUCAUGUAAUGAAGUACAUUUUAAAAUAUGAUAGCUGGUGUAAUGGAGAGAAAUGUGGUAGCCAGUUUGCACAUAAGAAUUUCCACAUAGAGCAAGGAGAUCAAUAACUAAAUAAUUUUUUAGUGAUGUUGAUUGAAACACAAAUAUUGACCGGAACACUCUUGAGAAUUCCUUUGCUCUUUUUCAGUUAGUGCCAUGUGAUCCUAUACUCCACUUGAGACAGCAGUUGAGGCCUCAAUUUACCAUGAAGUGGACGUUUUAAAAUCUGGUUCUUAAAAUGUAAUGUUUAUAUUGUACUCUGUACAAGAUCAAGGAUAUUUUGAUAUCCCUUUUGUUAAUAACAAGGCUGUAGUCAUCUCCACCUGUGUAGCACUCACCCUACUGCUGUCAAUUUAUGCAGUCAAAUUUCUGAGGUGGGGUUAGACCCUUGGCCAUCAUUUUUAUUUGUUGCAAGACAUCACAUUGAAUAAUAGGAAACAUUUGACUUUCCAAAUUAAGACAAACUUAAUCUGAUGUUGCACAAGGAGUCUUGCUAAUAAAUUAAAUGGUGUUAGAAUUUAUUGUUGGCACUCAUAACUGAUUAGCACACCUGUUAAAACAGUGGACCAUAUGAAUGUGUUAAGUACUCAUUUGCUAAUAUCUGCAUCAGUAAUGUGGUGUUCUCAUGGCAAGAGCAGUGUUUCUGGAAAAAUAAUGCAGUCUAUUCCCCUCUAAUAUUUAAAUAGUAUGGGUACAGUCUUAAUGUAAUAUUGUAGGACCUAAUGUGAGAGCUGCUCAUAUUAAAUAGCUGUUUUAGAUUUGUUUUACUUACAUUGUGCAUUUUGUUAAUGAACUAUUCCCACUGAUUGGGGAAUCUAGGAUUCGGAAACAUAGCCUAAAAAUUGCAGCCAGGCCUUUCAACAAUGAAGUGAAGAAACACUUCAACAUGAAAAAGGUUGGAGGUGUUUGGCACUCUCUUUCAAAAGUGGCAGCUGAAACUAGGUCAGUUAAUUUUAAAUCUGAGAGCGAUUUUUGUCAACCAAAGGGGUUAAGAUUGUUAUAAAGCCAUGUUUCAUACCACAAAUGACUUUAUUGAGUAGGCUGAAAGUUUAAACAGAGUGAAGGACAGCAUCUUAAGUGACUUAAACAGCAGAUCCUAAAAUGGCUGAACAUUCACAUGGCUUUGUAAUUUGUAGGUACAGCUAUCAGCAAGGCUCUGGGCUGUACAGAAUUAGUCCACCAGAGAUGAUCAACUUAAAUGAGUAUGAAUGACCCAUCUCCUAAACCAUUCAAUAAACAUCUAGACAUAACCUCUGUAUUCAGCUGGACAGUGGACCAAGCCAUUAGACUUGAUCACUUUUAACCAUGGACCGUGGCUGAGAAGGUAACUCCACUGGCCUUAAUCUAACCAUUUUUAAAUAAUGGAUCUGGAAUCAGCUUGCUGUGACCAUGUUUGGGUAACUUCCAGUUUGAGAGAUCAUCAUGUGAUGAGCAAACUAACCCUCUAAUGUUUUAAGAAACUGCUUCUUUUCAGGUCAGAAUGAGACCAGAAAGACCCUGAGUUGGCACACUCCCUCUGUCUUCAGCCAUUCUGCAAGCUAGUGCCCUGCCUAUUUUUUGACCAGCCUCAUGCCGCAGGUAGUGCCUUAAAUAUCAACCCAGCAGCUGCUGAUUCUAGGGGGAAAAAAAGACAAAUUAUCCCAUCAACAUCUUUAAAUCAUCUCAAUGCAGAUCCAUAAAGAUCAUCGAGCCCUGUCUGAAACCAUCCUAGCCAUCAAUCUACAGGAUCCAUAUAUAAAUGACUUGUUUUUACUCUUUAAACAAUUUAAUCUACCCUCCCACUUUGUAACUAACUUGUGCAUGUGUGAGAACUCUUGAAUGCAUAUGUGAGUGAGAGUUGGAGUGUUUUUAUUAUCUUUAUUUAGAGUGGGUGUAAGUAUAUUAAAUACUAUUUUCCUUUUAAAACUUAGAAGAAAAUCUGUCCAUGUGUGUCUUUUACAGUCGUUGCAUUUAAAUAGCUAAUCACUCACUGAAUUGGCAAGCGAAUUCUGUUGUGGUCAACUGAGGGAUGGAAAGAGAGGAGAGACAUUCUACUACUUCUCACCUGUCUGUAACAAGGGAUAUAGGACUAAGCCACACAGGUUUGGGUCACAGAUCAGCCAUGAUCUCAUUGUACAGCAGAACCAUCUUGGCUGAGGAGCUAAAUGGAUUACCCCUUUACCUAUGGAUACAUUCAUUAUUAAAGACAAAUUCCUGUAAUUUUUGCAAUUGAACUGUAUUGAUCCUUGUAUUGAACGCACAAAGCUGCUUUGCCUAAUUGUCCAUUGUAACAUUUAUCAGGCAGUUUAAUGAACAUGUUAGCAUAGGCCUGGAUUUUGCAUCUGCCUUUGUUACCCUAUGAAACAGACAGCGACAUCUGGCAUAUGCAAGUAAAUGCAGAAGCUGCUGCCACCAAUUCUCUGCUCCUCCAUAGAGUGCAUUGUUGAAAUCCCUGCAGACGACCAUCUAUCAACUAAUGAGAAAUUCCCCCUUUAUAUUGCAGUUUCACUGUUAAACCACAAGAAAAGUUAUGUCUUGUUCAUGAGGUAUAACUGGGGUUUUAGCGAUAUACUUACUCAUAACUGAACAACUUCUCCAGCCCUGGACAUCUCAUUUUAAAUAAUUGUAUAAUGUUAAAAUUAAAAACUAUGGAAUCAUAAUGUUUAAGUUUAUGAUAUUUCCACUUCUAA